CCUGCCCCUAGAAGUGGUUCAAAUAUAACCAGUGUCACCUGUGCAUCAGUAGGUGACAGAGUUUGGAGAGCCUAUGCUUAGACUCAGUGUUAUGACCUAUGGACAUUUGAAUGGUUUAGUGGCCUGAAACU